UACAGAGGGUGCAAGCGUUAAUCGGAAUUACUGGGCGUAAAGUGUGCGCAGGCGGCCGAGCAAGUCGAGUGUGAAAGCCCCGAGCUUAACUUGGGAACUGCGCUCGAAACUACUUGGCUAGAGUGUGGCAGAGGGAGGUGGAAUUCCACGUGUAGCGGUGAAAUGCGCAGAUAUCAGGAGGAACACCAAUUGCGAAGGCAGCUCGCUGGGACGUUACUGACGCUGAGACGCGAAAGCGUGGGGAGCAAACAGG
rnacentral:rRNA from 1 species